UGUUAAGAACAGCAGGCUCUAGCAUACAUAAAAAUGGCUCUUUACCCCUCCCCCUGCCGGAAGCGGAGGAAGUUCUCCGAUUUAAUGCUGGGCAGUCUGGUAGAGCUCCUGGAGGUAAAUCUCUCAAUCUUGAGAGGGUCUCUCUGUGACUGCGGCCCGCCCCCUACCCCGGAGGUUUUAACCCUGAGCAUUGUCCACAUCGCAUGUCCAGCAACUGAACUCGUCGGUUACAGCUCAGGGUCCCCCCAGUCACUGGCUCCUGACUUGGUUCCUGCUCUGGAGUCUCUGCUUCUGUAGGACAGUUACAGAGGAUGGAAGAAGGGAAUAUUUAACAGAGAGGUGGCUACAAGAGUUGUGAAAGCAGUUGAAGGGCGGUGGAAGGUCACAGUUCUUCAAGAGACAAGUCAUGGAUUUGGGUCCUGAUUCAGAAACAUGCCAUCACUAUACUUUGAGAAAAUAUCACCUCUCAGAGUCCAAUCUUCAUCAUUUUAAGGUUCUAGCCACUGUCUACAUCCCUUGGCUCAUGGCCCUCUUCCUCUAUCUUCGAAGUCAACAAUGG